UUGAAUAAUCCUCCAAUUUUUUUUUUUUUUUUUUUUUUUUUAAUUUAAUUUUUUUAGUAUUUGUUAAAAAUGAUGUUUAUUAAGGUCUGUUAAGGUAAAGGUAUUUUUUUUUUAGAAUAAGUUUAUUGUACCUUUUGUAUCAGGGUUAAUUAAUUUUAAUAUUUAUAAUUUAUUUCCCGAAUUAAGAAUAUCUGAAUUUAUAAAUUUUUUAUGUUUCAUAAUGAUAAUGAAUAUAUUUUCAGUAGUUAAAAGUUAUUUCGUUUCUUAGUAUAUCUGGUUAAUUAAUAUUAAAUUCAAUUUUAGUUGAUAUCUUCAUCUUAUGAAAUAAGGGACAAUCUUUAUUUUUAUUUAAAAUAUUUAUUUAGAUUUUAUUUUUAAAGAUUUAUAUUUUUUAUUUAGUUAUUAACAUAUUAGUAAUUUUUUAUAUAAUUUUUUUAUAUUUAUUUUUUUAUUGAUUAUAUUUAUUUAAUUAUUUUAUAUUUUUAUUAAUGAUUAAAUUAGUAUAAUUUGCAUAUAUAUAUUUAUGAAUUCGGCAAUUAUUAUUUUCAAAUGUUUAUCAAAAACAUUUCUUUUAGCUAAUUAUUAAAAGUAUAAUCUGCUCAAUGAUUAAUUUUAAAUAGCUGCAGUAUUUUAACUGUACAAAGGUAGCAUAAUAAUUAGUCUUUUAAUUGAAGUCUAGUAUGAAUGAUUUAAUGAGGGAUAAUCUUUAUUAGUUUUAUUAUUAAAAAUUUAUUUAUAAGUGAAAAAGCUUUAUUUUAAUUAUUGGGACGAGAAGACCCUAUAGAACUUAAAUUUAUUUUUUUUAUUUAUUUAUUUGGUUUUAAUUAUUUAAUAUUUUAAUUAAAUUUUGAUUGGGGUGAUUAAUAAAUUUAACUUUAUUUUUAAACUUUCAUUUAUUUAUGAUUUUUUGAUCCUUUAUUUAGAUUGUAAGAAAAAGUUACCUUAGGGAUAACAGCGUAAUUUUAAUGGUAAGUUCUUAUUUAAAUUAUAGUUUGCGACCUCGAUGUUGAAUUAAGAUAAUUCUAAGGGGUAGUUUUUUUAGUGUUAAGUCUGUUCGACUUUUAAAUUCUUACAUGAUUUGAGUUCAAACCGGUGUGAGCCAGGUUGGUUUCUAUCUUGUAAUAUUUAAAUUAUUUUAGUACGAAAGGACCAUUUAGUUUGAUUUUAAUCAUAAUUUAUUAAU
rnacentral:rRNA from 1 species